GAGUAGCUGGAACUAUAGGCACAAGCCACGGCUCCAAGCUAUUUUUCUGCGGACUCUCUCCUCAUUCCUCAAGCCUUCGCUGGUGCCUUUGGAGUCUGGCCUCUAUCUGCCACCAGGAUCCGGGGACUGGGUCACUGUCGUCCUUGCCGGCACACUCUCCCUAGUGAUCCCUUCCAAGCCUGUGGCUUCAAUACACCUAUAAAGGCUGAAAUUCCCACCUCUCCAUCUGCUAUUGGAGGCAGAAUAAUGGCCCCCCCAAAGACGGCCACGUCCUAGUCCCCAGAACCUGUGAAUAUGUUGCCUUUUAUGGCCAAAAGGACUUUGUAGAUAUAAAUAAACGGUCAUGAGAUGUGGGGUUA